CCCUCUCUCUUUCUUUUCUUUUUCCUUCUCCCUCUCACUUAGCCUCACACGCAGCUCCCUCUCCCUUCUUCUCUUUACUUUUCUCUUAUUUCCCUUUCUUUCCCUUCUCCUCUAUUCUGUCACGCCACUGCCGAGAGAUGGAAAGAUCUACCGAGAGUGAGAGGGGCGAACUGUGAAAAGAGAAGAGUCGAGCUGAGAGAGAGAUUCACGCUGAUGGAGAGAUUCGACCAUGAGAUGAAGAAGAAGAGGAAGAAAUGGGUUCCAGCCAUGGGGUGAUUUUUGAGGAUAGUGUCCGGAUUGGAGACUUCAAUGGGUUCUCCAAUAUAGAGUUCGAGUCAUGCGUCCAAUGCAACCCAGAUGAUGUUUCUUUGGCUGCAGGUACUCCGGACGUUGUUGAUGACGUAGUAGAAGUGUACUUGGGAUAUUAUGACCGAAGCUCCCCGCGACAGUCGUAAUUGCAGGACUAUGGGCGUUCUUUGUUUUAUGGGUUUUAUUUAUAGCUUGUGACACCUGUGUCACUUGUUAUUGUAUAUAGUCAUUUAUGUUAUGUAUUUAAUUUGAAGAAAGACUUAAAUAGAUAGAUGUAAUAUUGGCUCUUGAUUAUGAUUAAUUUAUGAUAGAUGUUUAAGA